rnacentral:rRNA from 1 species
AUUGAACGCUGGCGGCAGGCCUAACACAUGCAAGUCGAACGAGUGGCGGACGGGUGAGUAAUGUCUGGGAAACUGGCUGACGGAGGGGGCUAACUACUGGAAACGGUAGCUACUACUGCUUACGACGCGUUGUGCUCAGAGUGGAUUAGCUAGUAGGUGGGGUAAAGGCUCAUCAAGGCGACGAUGCCUAGCUGGUCUGAGAGGAUGACCAGCCACAUUGGAACUGAGACACGGUCCAGACUCCUACGGGAGGCAGCAGUGGGGAAUAUUGCGCAAUGGGCGAAAGCCUGAUGCAGCCAUGCCGCGUGUAUGAAGAAGGCCUUCGGGUUGUAAAGUACUUUCAGCGGAGAGGCGUUACCCGCAGAAGAAGCACCGGCUAACUCCGUGCCAGCAGCCGCGGUAAUUC